CGUGUAGGCGGUUUAAUAAGUCAGAUGUAAAAGCCCCCGGCUCAACCGGGGAUGGUCAUUUGAAACUGUUAGGCUUGAGUGCGAGAGAGGGUAGUGGAAUUCCCAGUGUAGCGGUGAAAUGCGUAGAUAUUGGGAAGAACACCAGUAGCGAAGGCGGCUACCUGGCUCGCAACUGACGCUAAGGCGCGAAAGCGGUGGGGAGCAAACA
rnacentral:rRNA from 1 species